GCGCCUGUAGCUCAACGGAUAGAGUGUCUGUCUUCGGAACAGAUGAUGGAGGUUCGAUUCCCCCCAGGCGCA
rfam:Candidatus Amesbacteria bacterium RIFOXYB1_FTLL_44_23 rifoxyb1_full_scaffold_3528, whole genome shotgun sequence.